rnacentral:rRNA from 1 species
UUAAGUGAAUAAGGGCGCACGGUGGAUGCCUUGGCACUAGGAGCCGAUGAAGGACGGGACUAACACCGAUAUGCUUUGGGGAGCUGUACGUAAGCUAUGAUCCAGAGAUUUCCGAAUGGGGAAACCCAACAUCUUUUAUAGGAUGUUACGUUUGCGUGAAUACAUAGCGCAUUCGAGGUAGACGCAGAGAACUGAAACAUCUAAGUACCUGCAGGAAGAGAAAGAAAAUUCGAUUCCCUGAGUAGCGGCGAGCGAAACGGGAAAAGCCCAAACCAAUGAGCUUACUCAUUGGGGUUGUAGGACUCCAAUAUGGUAGUUCUUUCAGAUAAUCGAAUGACUUGGAAAAGUCAGUCAAAGAGGGUAAAAACCCCGUAGAUGAAAUUUGGAAGGCACCUAGGAGGAUCCUGAGUACGGCGGAACACGAGGAAUUCCGUCGGAAUCCGGGAGGACCAUCUCCCAAGGCUAAAUACUCCCUAGUGACCGAUAGUGAACCAGUACCGUGAGGGAAAGGUGAAAAGCACCCCGGAAGGGGAGUGAAAUAGAACCUGAAACCGUGUGCCUACAACAAGUCAAAGCCCGUUAAUGGGUGAUGGCGUGCCUUUUGUAGAAUGAACCGGCGAGUUACGAUUGCAUGCGAGGUUAAGUCGAAGAGACGGAGCCGCAGCGAAAGCGAGUCUGAAUAGGGCGUUUGAGUAUGUAGUCGUAGACCCGAAACCAUGUGAUCUACCCAUGUCCAGGUUGAAGGUGCGGUAAAACGCACUGGAGGACCGAACCCACGUACGUUGAAAAGUGCGGGGAUGAGGUGUGGGUAGCGGAGAAAUUCCAAACGAACUUGGAGAUAGCUGGUUCUCUCCGAAAUAGCUUUAGGGCUAGCCUCGGAUUUGAGAAUGAUGGAGGUAGAGCACUGUUUGGACUAGGGGCCCAUCUCGGGUUACCGAAUUCAGAUAAACUCCGAAUGCCAUUCAUUCAUAUCCGGGAGUCAGACUGUGAGUGAUAAGAUCCAUAGUCGAAAGGGAAACAGCCCAGACCACCAGCUAAGGUCCCAAAAUAUAUGUUAAGUGGAAAAGGAUGUGGGGUUGCACAGACAACUAGGAUGUUGGCUCAGAAGCAGCCACCAUUUAAAGAGUGCGUAAUAGCUCACUAGUCGAGUGACCCUGCGCCGAAAAUGUACCGGGGCUAAACAUAUUACCGAAGCUGUGGAGUACACCAUGAGGUGUAUUGGUAGGAGAGCGUUCUAAGGGCGUUGAAGGCAGAUCGUGAGGACUGCUGGAGCGCUUAGAAGUGAGAAUGCCGGUAUGAGUAGCGAAAGACAGGUGAGAAUCCUGUCCACCGAAUGACUAAGGUUUCCUGGGGAAGGCUCGUCCGCCCAGGGUUAGUCGGGACCUAAGCCGAGGCCGACAGGCGUAGGCGAUGGACAACAGGUUGAUAUUCCUGUACUCGUUGUUUUUGUUUGAGCAAUGGAGGGACGCAGGAGGCUAAGGAAUGCAGACGAUUGGAAAUGUCUGUCCAAGCAGUAAGUCUUGAUAGGAGUCAAAUGCUUCUGUCUACACGGAUAAGCUGUGAUGGGGAGGGAAAUAAUAGUACCGAAGUUCCUGAUGUCACACUGCCAAGAAAAGCUUCUAGUGAGAAAACAAUGACCCGUACCGCAAACCGACACAGGUAGUCGAGGAGAGAAUCCUAAGGUGAGCGAGAGAACUCUCGUUAAGGAACUCGGCAAAAUGACCCCGUAACUUCGGGAGAAGGGGUGCUGAUCUUCGAUCAGCCGCAGUGAAUAGGCCCAAGCGACUGUUUAUCAAAAACACAGGUCUCUGCAAAAUCGUAAGAUGAAGUAUAGGGGCUGACGCCUGCCCGGUGCUGGAAGGUUAAGAGGAGUGCUUAGCGUAAGCGAAGGUACGAAUUGAAGCCCCAGUAAACGGCGGCCGUAACUAUAACGGUCCUAAGGUAGCGAAAUUCCUUGUCGGGUAAGUUCCGACCCGCACGAAAGGCGUAACGAUUUGGGCACUGUCUCAACGAGAGACUCGGUGAAAUUUUAGUACCUGUGAAGAUGCAGGUUACCCGCGACAGGACGGAAAGACCCCAUGGAGCUUUACUGUAGUUUGAUAUUGAGUGUCUGUACCGCAUGUACAGGAUAGGUAGGAGCCGUAGAAAUCGGAACGCUAGUUUCGAUGGAGGCGCUGGUGGGAUACUACCCCUGCGUUAUGGCCACUCUAACCCGCACCACUAAUCGUGGUGGGAGACAGUGUCAGAUGGGCAGUUUGACUGGGGCGGUCGCCUCCUAAAAGGUAACGGAGGCGCCCAAAGGUUCCCUCAGAAUGGUUGGAAAUCAUUCGAAGAGUGUAAAGGCAGAAGGGAGCUUGACUGCGAGACCAACAAGUCGAGCAGGGACGAAAGUCGGGCUUAGUGAUCCGGUGGUUCCGCAUGGAAGGGCCAUCGCUCAACGGAUAAAAGCUACCCUGGGGAUAACAGGCUUAUCUCCCCCAAGAGUCCACAUCGACGGGGAGGUUUGGCACCUCGAUGUCGGCUCGUCGCAUCCUGGGGCUGUAGUCGGUCCCAAGGGUUGGGCUGUUCGCCCAUUAAAGCGGCACGCGAGCUGGGUUCAGAACGUCGUGAGACAGUUCGGUCCCUAUCCGUCGCGGGCGUUGGAAAUUUGAGAGGAGCUGUCCUUAGUACGAGAGGACCGGGAUGGACUUACCGCUGGUGUACCAGUUGUUCUGCCAAGGGCAUUGCUGGGUAGCUAUGUAGGGAAGGGAUAAACGCUGAAAGCAUCUAAGUGUGAAGCCCACCUCAAGAUGAGAUUUCCCAUUUCUUUAAGAAAGUAAGAUCCCUGAGAGAUGAUCAGGUAGAUAGGUCAGGAGUGGAAGGCCAGUGAUGGUUGGAGCGGACUGAUACUAAUCGAUCGAGGACUUAACCAA